GCCGACGUAGCUCAGCGGUAGAGCAACUGAUUCGUAAUCAGUAGGUCCGGAGUUCGAUCCUCCGCGUCGGCACCA
rnacentral:tRNA from 1 species